GCUGGCGGCGUGCCUAAUACAUGCAAGUCGAGCGAACGGACGAGAAGCUUGCUUCUCUGAUGUUAGCGGCGGACGGGUGAGUAACACGUGGAUAACCUACCUAUAAGACUGGGAUAACUUCGGGAAACCGGAGCUAAUACCAGAUAAUAUUUUGAACCGCAUGGUUCAAAAGUGAAAGACGGUCUUGCUGUCACUUAUAGAUGGAUCCGCGCUGCAUUAGCUAGUUGGUAAGGUAACGGCUUACCAAGGCAACGAUGCAUAGCCGACCUGAGAGGGUGAUCGGCCACACUGGAACUGAGACACGGUCCAGACUCCUACGGGAGGCAGCAGUAGGGAAUCUUCCGCAAUGGGCGAAAGCCUGACGGAGCAACGCCGCGUGAGUGAUGAAAGUCUUCGGAUCGUAAAACCCUGUUAUUAGGGAAGAACAUAUGUGUAAGUAACUGUGCACAUCUUGACGGUACCUAAUCAGAAAGCCACGGCUAACUACGUGCCAGCAGCCGCGGUAAUACGUAGGUGGCAAGCGUUAUCCGGAAUUAUUGGGCGUAAAGCGCGCGUAGGCGGUUUUUUAAGUCUGAUGUGAAAGCCCACGGCUCAACCGUGGAGGGUCAUUGGAAACUGGAAAACUUGAGUGCAGAAGAGGAAAGUGGAAUUCCAUGUGUAGCGGUGAAAUGCGCAGAGAUAUGGAGGAACACCAGUGGCGAAGGCGACUUUCUGGUCUGUAACUGACGCUGAUGUGCGAAAGC
rnacentral:rRNA from 1 species